ACCUGCCCUAUGAAUAAUUUGCUUUUAAAUGGCUGCGGUACCCUGACCGUGCAAAGGUAGCAUAAUAAUUAGUUUCUUAAUUGGGAACUGGAAUGAAUGGUCGAACGAGAAAAAGACUGUCUCAAUUUAAUUUAAAUUAGAAUUUUAUUUUUAAGUAAGAAAGCUUAAAUAUACUUAAAAGACGAGAAGACCCUAUAGAGUUUUAUAUAAAUUAUUAUGAUUGAAAGUUAAAGUAUUAUAGAUUUGAUUAUAAUAAUUUAUAUUUGGUUGGGGCGAUUAAAAAAUUUAAUGAACUUUUUUUAGAUUAAACCAUUGAUUUAUGAGUAGGUGAUCCAUAUUUUAUGAUUAAAAGAUUAAAUUA
rnacentral:rRNA from 1 species